rnacentral:lncRNA from 10 species
AAAGUACCUGGACCUCUAUGCCCAUGCUUCUAGCAGCCAGCCUCCUAAAAUACCUCUAGUUGAAGCCAAAGUUAGAAUCCUUCUACGAAACUACAGGAUUAAAAUGGAAUGGUUACAUGACCCAGGCUUGACCAAUCAGAUCAUCCAAACCCUUUGCCACAGUGAUUGGUCCAGGGAUACAUGCAUGAGCCAGCUCAGGCCUAAGCCACACUCAUCUUGUGGAUGACACUGGAGCUGUGACAGUCUGUUCUGUCCAGGCAGGGUGUCUUUUAUUUUUAUUGGAAAUAAGAUUAUCACAGGAAUUGCUUUCUAGAUUUGUCAAAAGAAGAAAAUGCUAUCCUGUUUCUGGGAAAUA